ACCUGGCUGGCUCAGUCAGUAGAGCAUGUGACUGUUGAUCCUAGGGUCGUGAGUUCAAACCUCACAUUGGGUG
rnacentral:tRNA from 1 species